CGCAUCCUACGGGGGGCAGCAGUGGGGAAUAUUGCACAAUGGGGGAAACCCUGAUGCAGCAACGCCGCGUGAGUGAAGAAGUCAUUCGUGAUGUAAAGCUCUAUCAGCAGGGAAGAAAAUGACGGUACCUGAGUAAGAAGCUCCGGCUAAAUACGUGCCAGCAGCCGCGGUAAUACGUAUGGAGCAAGCGUUAUCCGGAUUUACUGGGUGUAAAGGGAGCGCAGACGGCAAGGCAAGUCUGAUGUGGAAGUCCGAGGCUCAACCUCGGGACCGCAUUGGAAACUGUCUGGCUAGAGUGCAGGAGG
rnacentral:rRNA from 1 species